AGCAACAAAUGCCCUGCUUCCAGGAAAAGCCUCUAAGCAUCAGGUAACAUCAAAUCGUACCCCAAACCGACACAGGUGGUCAGGUAGAGAAUACCAAGGCGCUUGAGAGAACUCGGGUGAAGGAACUAGGCAAAAUGGUGCCGUAACUUCGGGAGAAGGCACGCUGACAUGUAGGUGAAGUGAUUUACUCAUGGAGCUGAAGUCAGUCGAAGAUACCAGCUGGCUGCAACUGUUUAUUAAAAACACAGCACUGUGCAAACACGAAAGUGGACGUAUACGGUGUGACGCCUGCCCGGUGCCGGAAGGUUAAUUGAUGGGGUCAGCGCAAGCGAAGCUCCUGAUCGAAGCCCCGGUAAACGGCGGCCGUAACUAUAACGGUCCUAAGGUAGCGAAAUUCCUUGUCGGGUAAGUUCCGACCUGCACGAAUGGCGUAAUGAUGGCCAGGCUGUCUCCACCCGAGACUCAGUGAAAUUGAACUCGCUGUGAAGAUGCAGUGUACCCGCGGCAAGACGGAAAGACCCCGUGAACCUUUACUAUAGCUUGACACUGAACAUUGAGCCUUGAUGUGUAGGAUAGGUGGGAGGCUUUGAAGUGUGGACGCCAGUCUGCAUGGAGCCGACCUUGAAAUACCACCCUUUAAUGUUUGAUGUUCUAACGUGGACCCGUUAUCCGGGUUGCGGACAGUGUCUGGUGGGUAGUUUGACUGGGGCGGUCUCCUCCUAAAGAGUAACGGAGGAGCACGAAGGUUGGCUAAUCCUGGUCGGACAUCAGGAGGUUAGUGCAAUGGCAUAAGCCAGCUUGACUGCGAGCGUGACGGCGCGAGCAGGUGCGAAAGCAGGUCAUAGUGAUCCGGUGGUUCUGAAUGGAAGGGCCAUCGCUCAACGGAUAAAAGGUACUCCGGGGAUAACAGGCUGAUACCGCCCAAGAGUUCAUAUCGACGGCGGUGUUUGGCACCUCGAUGUCGGCUCAUCACAUCCUGGGGCUGAAGUAGGUCCCAAGGGUAUGGCUGUUCGCCAUUUAAAGUGGUACGCGAGCUGGGUUUAGAACGUCGUGAGACAGUUCGGUCCCUAUCUGCCGUGGGCGCUGGAGAACUGAGGGGGGCUGCUCCUAGUACGAGAGGACCGGAGUGGACGCAUCACUGGUGUUCGGGUUGUCAUGCCAAUGGCACUGCCCGGUAGCUAAAUGCGGAAGAGAUAAGUGCUGAAAGCAUCUAAGCACGAAACUUGCCCCGAGAUGAGUUCUCCCUGAGACUUUAAGUCUCCUGAAGGAACGUUGAAGACGACGACGUUGAUAGGCCGGGUGUGUAAGCGCAGCGAUGCGUUGAGCUAACCGGUACUAAUGAACCGUGAGGCUUAACCUUACAACGCCGAAG
rnacentral:rRNA from 1 species